UCCUCACUCGUGCCUGGAAAAACCCAUUCUACCAAGUGGAUACAAAAAGCGUGCUUCCUAUGGAAUUUUAUACUAACAAGACAACGAAGACUGCAGUUGCAUCAUUCUUUCACCAGCGGAACGCUUUUCAAGUCAAUGGUCCUUAAGCAUCUUGCGGACUGUGUGAACUCUUGUCUUGCAAGACAGCCUGGGGCCACUUCUAACAUCGGAAUAAGGCUGAUCAGAAGAUGGACGUUAUGCAGAGAAAUUACUGACGAUGAUUUGUGAUUAUUGACUGAAAUUAAAUUCUGCAAGUUUUUAUACACGAAAACAGAAGAAAAAAUUAAGAUGGGCUUCACAAUGUACUGAAAAGUAAAUGGAUUCUAGAAGGAGGCCUUAAGGGAAAGGUUGUCCUCUGUCUUCCCAGAAGCUUCGGCAAAAGCAACUUCCAAGUGAAUCGUUAAUGUGGAAAACGAAAAGGAGAAUCGCCGAAAUCAAGAAACCUCAUACAAUAGGAGAUGAUCACAUCGUGCCUUGCUCACUAGACGCAGCGAAUCCAGUUCCACGAGAG